UGUAGUCUAGUAGAGGCACUACAGCUGCACCCUGUAGUCUAGUAGAGACGUCUAGUAGAGGCACUACAGCUGCACCCUGUAGUCUAGUAGAGACGUCUAGUAGAGACACUACAGCUGCACCCUGUAGUCUAGUAGAGACGUCUAGUAGAGACACUACAGCUGCACCCUGUAGUCUAGUAGAGACGUCUAGUAGAGGCACUACAGCUGCACCCUGUAGUCUAGUAGAGACG